rnacentral:rRNA from 1 species
CCUACGGGAGACAGCAGUGGGGAAUAUUGCACAAUGGGGGAAACCCUGACGCAGCGACGCCGCGUGAGUGAUGAAGGAUUUCGGUAUGUAAAGCUCUAUCAGCACGGAGGAAAUAGCGACCUUUGGGUCGCCAGACGGUACCUGAUCAAGAAGCCCCAGCUAACGACGUGACAGCAGCCGCGGUAAUAUGGAGGGGGCGAGCGGUAUCCGGAUUUACUGGGUGUAAAGGGAGCGUAGACGGGAUUGCAAGUAAGAAGUGAAAUGCCGAGGCUUAACCCCGGAACUGCUUUGGAAACUGUGUGGCUAGAGUGCAGGAGAGGUAAGUGGAAUUCCUAGUGUAGCGGUGAAAUGCGUAGAUAUUAGGAGGAACACCAGUGGCGAAGGCGGCUUACUGGACUGUAACUGACGUUGAGGCUCGAAAGCGUGGGGAGCAAACAGGAUUAGAUACCCGUGUAGUC